rnacentral:rRNA from 1 species
GGUUAAGCGACUAAGCGUACACGGUGGAUGCCCUGGCAGUCAGAGGCGAUGAAGGACGUGCUAAUCUGCGAAAAGCGUCGGUAAGGUGAUAUGAACCGUUAUARCCGGCGAUGUCCGAAUGGGGAAACCCAGUGCAAUUCGUUGCACUAUCGUUAACUGAAUACAUAGGUUAACGAGGCGAACCGGGGGAACUGAAACAUCUAAGUACCCCGAGGAAAAGAAAUCAACCGAGAUUCCCCCAGUAGCGGCGAGCGAACGGGGAGCAGCCCAGAGUCUGAAUCAGCUUGUGUGUUAGUGGAACGGUCUGGAAAGUCCGACGGUACAGGGUGAUAGUCCCGUACACCAAAAUGCACAGGCUGUGAACUCGAAGAGUAGGGCGGGACACGUGGUAUCCUGUCUGAAUAUGGGGGGACCAUCCUCCAAGGCUAAAUACUCCUGACUGACCGAUAGUGAACCAGUACCGUGAGGGAAAGGCGAAAAGAACCCCGGCGAGGGGAGUGAAAAAGAACCUGAAACCGUGUACGUACAAGCAGUGGGAGCACCUUCGGGUGUGACUGCGUACCUUUUGUAUAAUGGGUCAGCGACUUAUAUUCUGUAGCAAGGUUAACCGUAUAGGGGAGCCGCAGGGAAACCGAGUCUUAACUGGGCGUUAAGUUGCAGGGUAUAGACCCGAAACCCGGUGAUCUAGCCAUGGGCAGGUUGAAGGUUGGGUAACACUAACUGGAGGACCGAACCGACUAAUGUUGAAAAAUUAGCGGAUGACUUGUGGCUGGGGGUGAAAGGCCAAUCAAACCGGGAGAUAGCUGGUUCUCCCCGAAAGCUAUUUAGGUAGCGCCUCGUGAACUCAUCUUCGGGGGUAGAGCACUGUUUCGGCUAGGGGGUCAUCCCGACUUACCAACCCGAUGCAAACUACGAAUACCGAAGAAUGUUAUCACGGGAGACACACGGCGGGUGCUAACGUCCGUCGUGAAGAGGGAAACAACCCAGACCGCCAGCUAAGGUCCCAAAGUCAUGGUUAAGUGGGAAACGAUGUGGGAAGGCACAGACAGCCAGGAUGUUGGCUUAGAAGCAGCCAUCAUUUAAAGAAAGCGUAAUAGCUCACUGGUCGAGUCGGCCUGCGCGGAAGAUGUAACGGGGCUAAACCAUGCACCGAAGCUGCGGCAGCGACACUAUGUGUUGUUGGGUAGGGGAGCGUUCUGUAAGCCUGCGAAGGUGUGCUGUGAGGCAUGCUGGAGGUAUCAGAAGUGCGAAUGCUGACAUAAGUAACGAUAAAGCGGGUGAAAAGCCCGCUCGCCGGAAGACCAAGGGUUCCUGUCCAACGUUAAUCGGGGCAGGGUGAGUCGACCCCUAAGGCGAGGCCGAAAGGCGUAGUCGAUGGGAAACAGGUUAAUAUUCCUGUACUUGGUGUUACUGCGAAGGGGGGACGGAGAAGGCUAUGUUAGCCGGGCGACGGUUGUCCCGGUUUAAGCAUGUAGGCUGAUUGUCCAGGCAAAUCCGGAUAAUCAAGGCUGAGGUGUGAUGACGAGGCACUACGGUGCUGAAGUAACAAAUGCCCUGCUUCCAGGAAAAGCCUCUAAGCAUCAGGUAACAUCAAAUCGUACCCCAAACCGACACAGGUGGUCAGGUAGAGAAUACCAAGGCGCUUGAGAGAACUCGGGUGAAGGAACUAGGCAAAAUGGUGCCGUAACUUCGGGAGAAGGCACGCUGGUGUGUAGGUGAAGUCCCUGCGGAUGGAGCUGAGACCAGUCGAAGAUACCAGCUGGCUGCAACUGUUUAUUAAAAACACAGCACUGUGCAAACACGAAAGUGGACGUAUACGGUGUGACGCCUGCCCGGUGCCGGAAGGUUAAUUGAUGGGGUUAUCCGUAAGGAGAAGCUCUUGAUCGAAGCCCCGGUAAACGGCGGCCGUAACUAUAACGGUCCUAAGGUAGCGAAAUUCCUUGUCGGGUAAGUUCCGACCUGCACGAAUGGCGUAAUGAUGGCCAGGCUGUCUCCACCCGAGACUCAGUGAAAUUGAACUCGCUGUGAAGAUGCAGUGUACCCGCGGCAAGACGGAAAGACCCCGUGAACCUUUACUAUAGCUUGACACUGAACAUUGAGCCUUGAUGUGUAGGAUAGGUGGGAGGCUUUGAAGCGUGGACGCCAGUCUGCGUGGAGCCAACCUUGAAAUACCACCCUUUAAUGUUUGAUGUUCUAACGUUGGCCCCUNACCGGGGUUGCGGACAGUGUCUGGUGGGUAGUUUGACUGGGGCGGUCUCCUCCCAAAGCGUAACGGAGGAGCACGAAGGUUAGCUAAUCCUGGUCGGACAUCAGGAGGUUAGUGCAAUGGCAUAAGCUAGCUUGACUGCGAGCGUGACGGCGCGAGCAGGUGCGAAAGCAGGUCAUAGUGAUCCGGUGGUUCUGAAUGGAAGGGCCAUCGCUCAACGGAUAAAAGGUACUCCGGGGAUAACAGGCUGAUACCGCCCAAGAGUUCAUAUCGACGGCGGUGUUUGGCACCUCGAUGUCGGCUCAUCACAUCCUGGGGCUGAAGUAGGUCCCAAGGGUAUGGCUGUUCGCCAUUUAAAGUGGUACGCGAGCUGGGUUUAGAACGUCGUGAGACAGUUCGGUCCCUAUCUGCCGUGGGCGCUGGAGAAUUGAGGGGGGCUGCUCCUAGUACGAGAGGACCGGAGUGGACGCAUCACUGGUGUUCGGGUUGUCAUGCCAAUGGCACUGCCCGGUAGCUAAAUGCGGAAGAGAUAAGUGCUGAAAGCAUCUAAGCACGAAACUUGCCCCGAGAUGAGUUCUCCCUGAGACUUUAAGUCUCCUGAAGGAACGUUNNGACGAUGACGUUGAUAGGCCGGGUGUGUAAGCGCAGCGAUGCGUUGAGCUAACCGGUACUAAUGAACCGUGAGGCUUAACCUU